rnacentral:rRNA from 1 species
AUUGAACGCUGGCGGCAUGCCUUACACAUGCAAGUCGAACGGCAGCACGGGAGCAAUCCUGGUGGCGAGUGGCGAACGGGUGAGUAAUAUAUCGGAACGUGCCCGGUCGUGGGGAUAACGUAGCGAAAGCUACGCUAAUACCGCAUACGAUCUACGGAUGAAAGCGGGGGGAUCGCAAGACCUCGCGCGAUUGGAGCGGCCGAUAUCAGAUUAGGUUGUUGGUGAGGUAAAGGCUCACCAAGCCGACGAUCUGUAGCUGGUCUGAGAGGACGACCAGCCACACUGGGACUGAGACACGGCCCAGACUCCUACGGGAGGCAGCAGUGGGGAAUUUUGGACAAUGGACGCAAGUCUGAUCCAGCCAUUCCGCGUGCAGGAUGAAGGCCCUCGGGUUGUAAACUGCUUUGUACGGAACGAAACGGUGAGCUCUAAUACAGUUUGCUAAUGACGGUACCGUAAGAAUAAGCACCGGCUAACUACGUGCCAG